GCAUAUUUUAAGGUUUUUCUUGUCGUAGAACACACCGAGGGGUGUCAGGAUUGAUCAAAUGAAAGACCGACCGGAGGGAGGUCUUUCUUUGAACAAUCCUGACAACCCGAGGUGUGUUCUACGACAAGAAAAACCUUAAAAUAUGCAUUAUCUGACUUAUAUACCGUCAAAAAAAUAUUAAUUUUAUAAAGAUUUGUAAAAUUUAGUAUCCUAUUUUACCGACAACACUUAAGUGGGAUAUUCCUUUCUAAUGCGUUCAGGUUUUAAUACGCCCUGCGGCUCAUUUAGAAUGUGAAAUAAAACUCACUAAAUUAUUUAGAUAUAAACCUUUUCAAAAAUUAUUAUCCAUACACAAUAAAAAUAUUACUGUAACUGCAUGAAGUAAGACACAAAUGUAUUGUUACCAUCCGAUAACGGUGUAUGACAAAUACA
rnacentral:lncRNA from 1 species